GUAGGUGAACCUGCGGAAGGAUCAUUACUGUGGUGGGCGGUCCUUCGGGAUACGUCCCGCCCGAGAUAGAACCAUUGCCUUUGAGUACCUUCUGUUUCCUCGGCAGGCUCGCCUGCCAAUGGGGACCUAAACCAAACCUCUUGUAUAGCAGUAAACGUCAACAAACAAAUAAAUUAAAACUUUCAACAACGGAUCUCUUGGUUCUG
rnacentral:misc_RNA from 1 species